CAGCCGCCGCGGGAAUACGUAGGUGGCAAGCGUUGUCCGGAAUUAUUGGGCGUAAAGGGCUCGCAGGCGGUUUCUUAAGUCUGAUGUGAAAGCCCUCGGCUCAACCGGGGAGGGUCAUUGGAAACUGGGAAACUUGAGUGCAGAAGAGGAGAGUGGAAUUCCACGUGUAGCGGUGAAAUGCGUAGAGAUGUGGAGGAACACCAGUGGCGAAGGCGACUCUCUGGUCUGUAACUGACGCUGAGGAGCGAAAGCGUGGAGAGCGAACAGGAUUAGAUACCCCCGUAGUCCCUGUCUCUUAUAC
rnacentral:rRNA from 1 species